rnacentral:rRNA from 1 species
CCUACGGGAGGCAGCAGUGGGGAAUUUUGGACAAUGGGCGCAAGCCUGAUCCAGCCAUGCCGCGUGUGUGAAGAAGGCCUUCGGGUUGUAAAGCACUUUCGGCCGGGACGAAAUCGCUCGGGAUAACACCCAGGGUGGAUGACGGUACCGGAAGAAGAAGCACCGGCUAACUACGUGCCAGCAGCCGCGGUAAUACGUAGGGUGCAAGCGUUAAUCGGAAUUACUGGGCGUAAAGCGUGCGCAGGCGGUUUUGUAAGCCAGACGUGAAAUCCCCGGGCUUAACCUGGGAACUGCGUUUGGAACUGCAAGGCUAGAGUGCGGCAGAGGAAGGUGGAAUUCCUGGUGUAGCAGUGAAAUGCGUAGAUAUCAGGAGGAACAUCGAUGGCGAAGGCAGCCUUCUGGGCUAGCACUGACGCUCAUGCACGAAAGCGUGGGGAGCAAACAGGAUUAGAUACCCUAGUAGUC